AUUGAACGCUGGCGGCAUGCCUUACACAUGCAAGUCGAACGGCAGCACGGGAGCAAUCCUGGUGGCGAGUGGCGAACGGGUGAGUAAUAUAUCGGAACGUGCCCGGUCGUGGGGAUAACGUAGCGAAAGCUACGCUAAUACCGCAUACGAUCUACGGAUGAAAGCGGGGGAUCGCAAGACCUCGCGCGAUUGGAGCGGCCGAUAUCAGAUUAGGUAGUUGGUGAGGUAAAGGCUCACCAAGCCGACGAUCUGUAGCUGGUUUGAGAGGACGACCAGCCACACUGGGACUGAGACACGGCCCAGACUCCUACGGGAGGCAGCAGUGGGGAAUUUUGGACAAUGGGCGCAAGCCUGAUCCAGCAAUGCCGCGUGCAGGAUGAAGGCC
rnacentral:rRNA from 1 species